rnacentral:rRNA from 1 species
GAUGAACGCUAGCGGCAGGCUUAAUACAUGCAAGUCGAGGGGCAGCACAGGUAGCAAUACUGGGUGGCGACCGGCAAACGGGUGCGGAACACGUACACAACUUACCUUAGCGUGGGGGAUAGCCCAGGGGAACUUGGAUUAAUACCCCAUAAAACAGGGGGCCCGCAUGGGCAUAUUGUUAAAGAUUUAUCGCUUUAAGAUGGGUUUGCGUAUGAUUAGGUAGUUGGUAGGGUAAAGGCCUACCAAGCCGACGAUCAUUAACUGGUGUGAGAGCACGACCAGUCACACGGGCACUGAGACACGGGCCCGACUCCUACGGGAGGCAGCAGUAAGGAAUAUUGGUCAAUGGACGGAAGUCUGAACCAGCCAUGCCGCGUGAAGGAUGAAGGUCCUCUGGAUUGUAAACUUCUUUUAUAGGGGGCGAAAAAGGGCCAUUCUUGGUCAACUGACGGUACCCUAUGAAUAAGCACCGGCUAACUCCGUGCCAGCCGCCGCGGUAAAAC